rnacentral:lncRNA from 1 species
AUCGCAGGGCAGGCUGGGGGUCAGAUGCGGAUGAAGCGGGCCGGGCAGUGGAGCUGCAUGUUUGAGCUUGCCCUCUCCAGGCCUAAGGGCCAGAGCUUCUGCUCUUCUGCCUUCUUUGCUCCUAUCCUACCCUCGUGAAUAAUUUAAGCACAAUCACUGUUUUUCUAGCUGUCCGCAUUGACCCACCGCGACCUCGAAGCAGGUCCCAGGCGUGUGCAUUUAUAUGCAGAGUGACCAAGAAACUUCAGUAAUACUAGUUUGUGUCUUUGGAGUCCCACUUUUUGCCAGGGCUAGUGCUAACAGCUUCAGGAGAAUUCAGCCUCACCUUGACAGGACAUGCUCUGGAGUCAGAAGACAGCGAAAAGAGAAGCAGAAGCCCCGGUGGCAAGAGUCUGAAGCAGGAAGGAUGACUGUAGCCUGUGGAUUGUACUGCAGUAGGAAACUGUCCUAGCAAGGCUCCACUUUGCCCCAGCUUCAAGCUGGAAAGGAGGAGAACAUGAAACAUUGCUUGAAGACAAUGGCCGAGACAGCAGGUCCCACCCUGCACAGCCACCAGCAUCUCUCCCCUCAGCCCUGUCUCCUCUUCUGCAGUUGGGAUCUGCACAUUUAAGCCUGAAAUUGUCCUGUGAAGUGAAGUAUGAUCGGACAGCCUCUUUUCAGCUUUUAUGACAAUGGAGACAGAGGAAUUGUGGCUCUUGCCAAGGUCACAGGAUUGGAAUACAGAGCCAAGCCACCCCAGGACAUGCAAGAGCCUCAGAAGGGAAAAAAGCCCAGCAGGAAGGGAGAACAAGUAGCCUCUGUCCUGAAGUUGUAACAGCCAGGGGCCAGGAUGGAGGAGGAGGACCCCAUAAUCUGCCCAUCUGGGACUUGGCAGGGGACCUGGGAAAAUGUACCCCAACCCAUCCCUUAAGGGCCUUUGUCUUUGGC